AGCUGAUACAAUUAAAAAUAUUUUGCUCUUACCGCCAACAGACACUAUUUUGUCAGAAUAUAGCAUGAAUUGUCUAAAGAAGAAAAAAAAGUUUAAAGAGUUGACAAGUCUAUGUUACGCUGUCACUGAAGCUGCUUUAAAGUCAAAUAAAAACUUAAUCAAAAUGGAUACCAUCCAACUUAUUGGAAAA
rnacentral:lncRNA from 1 species